AACCUCCAGUAUCUGUUCUGAUCAGAACCUCAGUUCCAUGGCUCUGCAUGUAAGAAGCACUGCAUUUACACCCGAUCCAUUGUACUAUGAAGUAACAAUUUAGUAGUUCAAGAGAUUCCACCACUUCAGAUAGUAGAACACAGCUCUAAAAACUGCUUCUAAUUCCUAAAACCCCUAGCCAUGCUGGUCAUGAAAGGGCUGGCUAUUCCUCCCAGGAGCCUGGCAACUAGAGAAGAAUGCUUGGCUGUACCAUUUUUCUAUCUUCUGCAACAGCCCUCCAAGUGACUGAGGGGCAUGAGCCAAAGGAAUUUAGUGUACUGUUACAUGGUUCCUUUUAUGAACUCAAAUCUGUCAUAGUGAAGCAUAUGAGAGAAGAAGGCACCAGACAAUUCACUUGGGAAUAAUAAAUAAAGUUUCUGGUAU